rnacentral:tRNA from 1 species
GCGGGUGUAGUUCAAUGGUAGAACAUCAGCUUCCCAAGCUGAGAAUGAGGGUUCAAUUGCCCUCACCGGUC